rnacentral:other from 1 species
UCCUUUCUGUUCGGUUCGUGAAUGCGGAUCCAUGAAUCCCGGAUAUCUCGAACCCGGGAGGCAAACGGUCGUUCGGUGUGCACGCCGGGCCUCCACUUCGGUGGCGGAUAACUCGGAAGCCUGAAGCGCGGCCCUCGCUUCCCACCUAGCCGAGUGGCUAGGGGUUCAUGAUCCCGCACACGGCCAGGGCGGUUUGGAA